UACGUAGGUGGCAAGCGUUGUCCGGAAUCAUUGGGCGUAAAGAGCGCGUAGGCGGCUAGAUAAGUCCGGUGUGAAAGUCACAGGCUCAACCUGUGAAUGCCGCUGGAAACUGUCUGGCUAGAGUCCGGAAGGGGCGAGUGGAAUUCCUGGUGUAGCGGUGAAAUGCGCAGAUAUCAGGAGGAACACCGAUGGCGAAGGCAGCUCGCUGGGGACGGUACUGACGCUGAGGCGCGAAAGCGUGGGGAGCAAACAGG
rnacentral:rRNA from 1 species